AUUGAACGCUGGCGGCAGGCCUAACACAUGCAAGUCGAGCGCGCGGCGGACGGGUGAGUAAUGUCUGUGGAACUGCCUGUUGUAGGGGGUUAACUACUGGAAACGGUAUCUAAUACCCCAUACCAUCAGAUGUGUCCCGAUGUGGUAAGCUAGUGGGUGGGGUAACGGCUCACCUAGGCGACGAUCCCUAGCUGGUCUGAGAGGAUGACCAGCCACACUGGAACUGAGACACGGUCCAGACUCCUACGGGAGGCAGCAGUGGGGAAUAUUGCACAAUGGGCGCAAGCCUGAUGCAGCCAUGCCGCGUGUGUGAAGAAGGCCUUCGGGUUGUAAAGCACUUUCAGCGGGGAGGCGUUACCCGCAGAAGAAGCACCGGCUAACUCCGUGCCAGCAGCCGCGGUAAUAC
rnacentral:rRNA from 1 species